CAUCCGGGAGGCAGCAGUGGGGAAUAUUGGGCAAUGGACGCAAGUCUGACCCAGCAACGCCGCGUGAAGGAAGAAGGCUUUCGGGUUGUAAACUUCUUUUAAGGGGGAAGAGCAGAAGACGGUACCCCUUGAAUAAGCCACGGCUAACUACGUGCCAGCAGCCGCGGUAAUACGUAGGUGGCAAGCGUUGUCCGGAUUUACUGGGUGUAAAGGGUGCGUAGGCGGAAUGCCAAGUCAGCGGUAAAAUCGCGGGGCUCAACCUCGCUCCGCCGUUGAAACUGGCGUUCUUGAGUGGGCGAGAAGUAUGCGGAAUGCGUGGUGUAGCGGUGAAAUGCAUAGAUAUCACGCAGAACUCCGAUUGCGAAGGCAGCAUACCGGCGCCCAACUGACGCUGAAGCACGAAAGCGUGGGUAUCGAACAGGAUUAGAUACCCCGGUAGUC
rnacentral:rRNA from 1 species